rnacentral:rRNA from 1 species
UAAGCGCACCGGAAGGUGCUCUUGGAAUAACCAAAGUGUAGUAUAGUAAACACAUUUCGCUUACACCGAAAAAAUAUCAGUGAAAACCAGAUCACUUUGAACCAAAAAACUAGCCCAAACAUAAUAUAACCCUAUAUUAAGCAAACUAAAACAUUUAUUUUUUAAGUAUAGGCGAUAGAAAUUAAACCACGGAGCAAUAGAUAAAAGUACCGCAAGGAAACGUUGAAAAAGAACUGAAAUAGAACAUAAAAGUAAAAAAAAGCAAAGAUUAACACCUCUACCUUUUGCAUCAUGGUCUAACAAGAAUAAUAAAAGCAAAAUGACUUUAAGUUUUUUACCCAGAAACUAUACGAGCUAUUUAAAAGCAGCCAAAUUUCUUGGGCAAACUCGUCUCUGUGGCAAAAGAGUGAGAAGACUUUUAAAUAGGGGCGACAAACCUACCGAGUUUAGUGAUAGCUGGUUGCCUGCCAAAUGAGUAUCAGCUCCCCCCUAAACCUUCUUUUAAUUCACAAAAAUGAUAAUCAAAGUUUACUGAGCUAUUCACAAGGGGUACAGCUCUUUUGAAAAAGGAUACAACCUACAGCCACGGGUAAUGAUCAUACUUCACUAGACAACUUUUAACAUAUGUUGGCUUAAAAGCAGCCACCAAAUAUUAAGACAGCGUCACAGCUCUAGUUUAAAACAUCUCAAUAAUCCACAUAAAUAAAUCAAAACCCACACCUAUCCAGCAGGCCCACUCAUAACAAUAUGAAUAAGUUAAUGCUAGAAUUAGUAACAAGAAAAUCAAGCUUUUCUCCCCAGGCGCAAGUAUAGGUCAAACUAAACACAUUACUGACAACUACCAACCCGCAACAAUAAUGGAAUUCUCUCCCUCCUUCAAGAAAAAAAGAAACAAACCAAUUGUUAACCUUACACAAGAGCGCACGCAUGAAAGAUUAAAAGACAGAGAAGGAACUCGGCAAAUCAUCACUUUUUCUUUUUUUAGCCUCGCCUGUUUACCAAAAACACUGCCUCUAGCAAAUGUCUGAUGUAUUAGAGGUACUGCCUGCCCAGUGAUAUUUAUUCAACGGCCGCGGUAUUCUGACCGUGCAAAGGUAGCAUAAUCACUUGUCUUUUAAAUAAAGACUAGUAUGAAUGGCAAAACGAAGGCUUAGCUGUCUCCUCUAUCCAAUCAGUGAAAUUGAUACCCCUGUACAAAGGCAGGGAUAUAACCACAAGACGAGAAGACCCUAUGGAGCUUUAAACGCACAUACAACUUAAAUUACCCUAAAUUUUCAGCCAUGAUAUGUCGUUUUCGGUUGGGGCGACCACGGAGAACAACACACCCUCCGCCCACUAGUAUAACUAGCUACACUAAGAAGCACACCACAACGUGCCGAAAACUCGGCCAUAUUUGACCCAAUAUUUUGACCAACGAACCAAGUUACCCUAGGGAUAACAGCGCAAUCCUAUCAAAGAGUCCAUAUCGAUGAUUGGGUUUACGACCUCGAUGUUGGAUCAGGGCACCCAAACAGUGCAGCAGCUGUUAAAGGUUCGUUUGUUCAACGAUUAAAGCCCU